UAUUUGGGGACUACAAGAGACGAAUCUUAUGAACACGUGUCCCAUCGUUUGCGACUCUGAUCUCUUCUUCCCCGACUUCGCUCUUCUUCAAUUUCUCCCGAUUCGCAGCGAGAGAGAGAGAUGGCUCCGCCGGCAACGGAGCGGUGGUGCUGGGCAUUGAUUAGGGUUAAUCUUUUCCCAUCUUUUUUUCCAAUUCAGAUUUUGAUUUUAAUCUCAAGAUGCAAACGCAUCAGAUAUAAAGAGAUCAUGCGAUUAUUGAUUCUUCUUUCUUAGUCAAAAUCGCCACUGCUUACGAGAUAUUGAAAGGACUGGUGUUCGAUCACGCUGCUCAGUUCUUCAUUGCAGAUGAUUCUCGUCUUAUCCAGUACGUCGAUGGAUGGUUAGAGAAAGGACUUGUUCGAGAGUGGAAAGGUGUUGUGGGAGAGCUUGAAGUUGGAGGCAAUUUCUCGCAGUUUCCUCCUUCAUGGCCUCCAAGAUACAUUGCUGUUCACGGCAUGCGAUCUCUCGCUGAUUCAUUGCUAUUAGAGAGUCGAUUGUCAUUGCUCACAAUGGUAAGAACGGAACAUCUCGUGGUCAGUUUGAUGUCAUUGUCAUUGCUCACAAUGGUAAAUGUGCGAACCGUUUGCUGUCUGCAUCAGGCUUGCCCCUCGUUGCUAAACAGAUGAAGAAUUUUGAUCUUAGCUCCAUAUGGACGCUACUAGCAGCGUUCGAUGAUCCUCUUCCUACAGUGAACUUUGAAGGAGCGUUUGUGAAAGGAGUUGAAUCAUUGUCUUGGAUGGGAAACAACUCCGCAAAGCUUGGCUUCGGUAGUUUGGGAUGAACAAAGCAAAGAAUAUACUAGUUGUUCCUGGAAGUUCAUUGGCAUUGCAAUUUUUUUGUUUAUCUCAUCAAAAGUUUCUUUGGAGCAACUCAGACUUAUCAUAAACCUUCCAAGUUCCACCAUGAUUUGGUUUCAUCUCUAUACUAGUCCUUUGGUUGAUGUUUGAGUUGUCAUAAACAAAUACUUUAGCUUUUUGGCAAUGUUUUUUUUUUGUGGCAAUGUUCACCUUCUUCUAAUUCAUUUCAAUUUUUUUAAGAACCUUUAAAUAAAGGAUUUGCAAUGGAAGACAUAAAUGAUCGGGUCUCUUAACGUAGUCUCUUAACACAUAUUUAUUGCUUAAAAAUAUUAAACAAUAAAUAAGAGAUUCUAAUUGGGUAUUUGGGAUAAUGAUGCUCUUAGAUGGUUCCCGGAAUCUUGAAACUCAUGUCCAAAUUAAACCUUCUAUGUUACAAAUUUACCAUACAAUUAUAAUAAUGAAAUAAUAAUAACGUACAUGGAAACUCCUCUAUUAUUGAUUAUAGCUAGGAGCGCAUUGUACAGAUUAAGCAUGAGUAAGCUUUUAUCAUUAUUCUCAUCGUUUAGUUUUCUCAAUUCUUAACGGAGAAGAUUGUUGUGGAGCUUUGUGAACAUGUCGCUGGUCUUGCAGCCUUCAGAAAUGAUAUGUCACACAUUUUCACGGUGGUGAUAAAGCCACAAACACCUUUCUCAUUCCCAAGUACUCCUUAAUUAAUGCACUUUACAUCCAACAAAAUCUCUUUCACAACUCUACUUAUCAGUGCUGGACUACCCUGAAGUUCUUAUUUAUAACAAUAUAUGGUUACAUAAACAUUGUAUCUACUACAAAACAUCGUCAUCAUGUAUAUCUGAAGGGUACCAUUGAGUUUGUUGUAAGUAACGGGACUUAGUUUCUUCGACAGGUACUUGUCAACUAGGAACUUUAUAUUUCAUGAUUUUAGUGUCAUAUACCAAGUAUAACAAGGUAUGUCACAAAAGUAUGGUUCUAACAUAACCUAAUGGCUUAAAUAAAAAUAUUGAGAACUGUAUUAUUUCCACUGAUGUAAUUUACUAUACUUGCAGGGUUUCACAAAUACUACGAAGAGAAUAUUGGGGUUUCUGCUGGAAGUGAAGCAAGUCUGUUUCUUAAUAUCUGUCAACGACUUAUGCAGAUGCUUGUAGAUUCUCCGAUAAACUAUAAAUUCCCAAAAAGUAAGGAGUCGCAUGAGUUUAGAACGAAGAUAUGGCUUAUGUAAUGUUUGGCUCAACUUCUUCCACUGGUUGUGCGGCUUGUGCCAAGAAAGAAGAAGAAAAUAUAUAGCACAAAUGGAUUUUGGGCCUGCGUUGAAGCCCACUCAUCGAAGCCCAAUAUCUUUCUGCUCUCACUCUCUGCCUUAAUCACCAAAACGCACAUUCACUCAUUUCAGUCGGAGCAGUCAACUUCUUCAGAACUUGAUUUGACGAACAAAGACUCGGUGGGAUCUCUUUUGCUACGUCUAUAUUAUUAAAUCAGGAUCCUGUUGGUUUUUUUACCUACAA